UUUGCAUUGCCUUGCCAUUUGGUCAUGUGCUGAUAAAGAUACAAAGUCUCAAAGUCACCCUGUUGGAUAGUUUCCUUGCCAGACCAAGACAACCAAUAAUGUUGCACAAACGACCAGCCCACUUUCUUUACCUCAUUUGGCCAUGUACUCUCUUGUCCACUCACUUAAGUUUUGCCAAAACAAGAGCUUGCUUUCACCACCUCCCCUUUUGUAUCAUAGUGCACAUAACCAAAAC
rnacentral:lncRNA from 1 species